ACAGCAGCAGCCGCGGUAAUACAGAGGGUGCGAGCGUUAAUCGGAUUUACUGGGCGUAAAGCGUGCGUAGGCGGCUUCUUAAGUCGGAUGUGAAAUCCCUGAGCUUAACUUAGGAAUUGCAUUCGAUACUGGGAAGCUAGAGUAUGGGAGAGGAUGGUAGAAUUCCAGGUGUAGCGGUGAAAUGCGUAGAGAUCUGGAGGAAUACCGAUGGCGAAGGCAGCCAUCUGGCCUAAUACUGACGCUGAGGUACGAAAGCAUGGGGAGCAAACAGGAUUAGAUACCCUGUAGUCCCUGUCUCUUAUACA
rnacentral:rRNA from 1 species